rnacentral:rRNA from 1 species
AAUCCUGGUCGGACAUCAGGAGGUUAGUGCAAUGGCAUAAGCUGGCUUGACUGCGAGAGUGACGGCUCGAGCAGGUGCGAAAGCAGGUCAUAGUGAUCCGGUGGUUCUGUAUGGAAGGGCCAUCGCUCAACGGAUAAAAGGUACUCCGGGGAUAACAGGCUGA